UUGGGAAUCGUACGCAAUGGGCGCAAGCCUGACGUCGCGACGCCGCGUGGAGGAAGAAGGCCUUCGGGUUGUAAACUUCUUUUCCCAGGGAAGAUUAUGACGGUACCUGGGGAAUAAGGACCUGCUAACUACGUGCCAGCAGCCGCGGUAAUACGUAGGGUCCAAGCGUUAUCCGGAUUUAUUGGGCGUAAAGAGCAUGUAGGUGGUUUGAUACGUCUCGUCUUAAAGCUCUGGGCUUAACCCAGAAUCUGGACGAGAUACUAUCAGGCUAGUGGUCAGCAGGGGCAAGCGGAAUUCCCGGUGUAGGAGUGAAAUCCGUUGAUAUCGGGAGGAACACCAAUGGCGAAGGCAGCUUGCUAGGUUGAUUCAGACACUGAGAUGCGAAAGCGUGGGGAGCGAACGG
rnacentral:rRNA from 1 species